AGGACCAACCUGAGUUGCUUCUGGAGUGAGAGAAUUGGCCGUCUGCAAGAAUGUUGCCCAGGGGACGCCUGGAUAUUUUGACGUUUUACCAUCCUUGUGGGAGGCUUCUCUCAUGUCCCUGCAUGGAGCUGGAGCUGACAGAGGGAGCUCAUCCGCGCUCUCCCCGGGUGGGAUUCGAACCUGGCAGCCUUCAGGAGCGACUUGAGAAUUCGCCAUCUGCAAGGACGUUGCCCAGGGGACGCCCGGAUGUUUUGAUGUUUUUUUUCCCAUCCUUGUGGGAGGCUUCUUUCAUGUCCCCGUAUGAGGAGCUGGAGCUGACAGAGGGAGCUCAUCCGCGCAUUCGAACUGGCAACCUUCAGGUCAGCAACCCAACCUUCAGGUCAGCAGUCCUGCAGGCACAAGGGUUUAACCCAUUGUCCCGCCGGGGAUCCAAUUUAUAAAUUAGGAAAGAAAAUACACUAGAACCAUGUAGCUGUGCGGAUAUGUUCCAGUAUAUCUUAUUGGACUUAACAAUGUAGUAAAGAGCUUACUUAUUCAACUUAACAAUGUAGUAAAGAGCUUCUGCUACAUCAUCAUCAUCGUCGUCAUCAUCAUAAUCUGUUUUAUUUCUUACCUAUCUCUCUUGACGGCUCGAAGCCGGCUCCCUCCCCAGCUCUCUCUAUCUUCUUGCUUGCUUGUACUCUGUCCUGCACUUUCCUUCCAUCCCAAAAAAUACUUUAAAAAUACAAAAAAAAGGGAAGUUGCUCCAUUGCCUUGAAUGGCUGGAUAGCAAACAAAGGUUAUGGCUACCAGCCCAAAAAAUGCCAUUUUGCCCCUCUCGAUAUAAGGAAGUUCCCGAAAAACAAAAUGGGUGGAUGCUGAAAAACAGCAUAGAAAUCAGGAAAUACUUUUUCCAAAUUGCACACCCUUAGGGUAUAACAUAGUUAAAAUACACCAAUAAAAAUAUAGUCCAUUAAAACACAUACUGUAUAUACUCGAAUAUAAGCCGACCCGAAUAUAAGCCGAGGCACCUAAUUUUACCACAAAAAAACUGGGAAAACAUUGACUCCAGUAUAAGCCGAGAGUGGUAAAUUUCAGAAAUAAAAAUAGAUACCAAUAAAAUUACAUUAAUUGAGGCAUCGGUAGGUUAAAUGUUUUUGAAUAGUUACAUAAAGCUCAAAUUUAAGAUAAGACUGUCGAACUCUGAUCAAAUCAUUAUUCUCAUCUUCUUCAAUGUCAAUGUGCUUAUGUAUCCUUUUAAUAAUAACAAUAGAGUAAAAUAAUACAUGGAAUAAUAAUAAUAAUAAAUACAGGAAAAUAAUACAAGUCAUAAUAAAUAGAGUAAAAUAAUAAAUGCAAUAAUAAUAAUAAUAAGAUCAGAGUGAAAUAAUAAAUGUAUUAAUGAUAAUAAUAAAAAUAGCGUAAAAUAAUUGUAAUACAGUAGAGUCUCGCUUAUCCAACGUAAACGGGCCGGCAGAACGUUGGAUAAGUGAAUAUGUUGGAUAAUAAGGAGAGAUUAAGGAAAAGCCUAUUAGACAUCAAAUUAGGUUAUGAUUUUACAAAUUAAGCACCAAAACAUCAUGUUAUACAACAAAUUUGAAAGAAAAAGUAGUUUAAUACGCAGUAAUGCUAUGUAGUAAUUACUGUAUUUACGAAUUUAGCACCAAAAUAUCACGAUAUAUUGAAAACAUUGACUACAAAAAUGCGUUGGAUAAUCCAGAAUGUUGGAUAAGUGAGACUCUACUGUAGUAGCAACAAUAAUAGAGAAAAAUAAAUGUAAUAAUACCAAUAAUAAUAGAGAAAAAUAAUAAAUGUACCAUAUAUUCUCGAGUGUAAGCUGACCCAAACAUAAGCCAACCAGGACCCUCACCUGAGUAUAAGCCGAGGGAGCUUUUUCAGUCUUAAAAAAGGGCUGAAAAACUAGGCUUAUACUCGAGUAUAUACAGUAUAUUAAGAGACAGACCUAAGGCAUAGCUAGCUAUACAUAAACUUGCAUGAUAUAAUGCGAAAGAAAACUGCAAGCACCAAUACACCUGAGGCAGGUGUUUUGUUUUGUUUCAGAAAGAUUCACAGGUGAUUUGCAAUAGCAUUGGAUCAUAUCAGA
rnacentral:lncRNA from 1 species